GUGGGAUGUUCUGGAUGUGAUGAAGUGUGCAUGGAGGUUAUGAGUGGUCAAUAAAAAAUCAGUCACUCCUUGAAAAAAGAGUAAACAUUAUAUGUGGUCUCAUGGUGGUGAUUCAAAGAGUCUCUGACCAGAGCAGAGAUGAAUAAUAGAAAGAAUUCUAUUGGUUUAUCAAUCGAGUCAUCAUCAUUAGAUCGAGAUA
rnacentral:lncRNA from 1 species